rnacentral:rRNA from 1 species
CCUACGGGGGGCAGCAGUCGAGAAUCAUUCACAAUGGGGGAAACCCUGAUGGUGCGACGCCGCGUGGGGGAAUGAAGGCCUUCGGAUUGUAAACCCCUGUCAUGUGGGAGCAAAUUAAAAAGAUAGUACCACAAGAGGAAGAGACGGCUAACUCUGUGCCAGCAGCCGCGGUAAUACAGAGGUCUCAAGCGUUGUUCGGAAUCACUGGGCGUAAAGCGUGCGUAGGCUGUUUCGUAAGUCGUGUGUGAAAGGCGCGGGCUCAAGCCGCGGACGGCACAUGAUACUGCGAGACUAGAGUGAUGGAGGGGGAAGCGGAAUUCUCGGUGUAGCAGUGAAAUGCGUAGAUAUCGGGAGGAACACUCGUGGCGAAGGCGGGUUCCUGGACAUUAACUGACGCUGAGGCACGAAGGCCAGGGGAGCGAAAGGGAUUAGAUACCCCUGUAGUC